GUUAUAAUAAUUUAAUAAAAAUAUUGGUUUUGUAAACCACAAUUGGAAACCCUUAUAGCA
rnacentral:tRNA from 1 species